rnacentral:rRNA from 1 species
UACGGGGGGAGCGAACGUUGUUCGGAAUCACUGGGCGUAAAGGGCGUGUAGGCGGCUGAAUAAGUGGGAUGUUAAAUCCCCCGGCUCAACCGGGGACCUGCAUCUCAUACUGUUCAGCUCGAGCACAUCAGAGGAGACUGGAAUUCCCGGUGUAGCGGUGAAAUGCGUAGAUAUCAGGAGGAACACCGGUGGCGAAGGCGGGUCUCUGGGCCGAUACUGACGCUGAGGAGCGAAAGCAUGGGUAGCGAACAGG